rnacentral:lncRNA from 1 species
ACAUUCUGGCCACUGCCACUGAUGCCCAGGGAUUCUUGCCGGCCAGGGACAAGAGGAAGCUGGGGGCGUCCGUGGUAAAGGUGAACAAAGUGGGCCAGCUCCGCGUGCUCCUCGCCUUCAGACGUGAAAGGGGUGAAGGCCUUCCACGUGCUGUCCACUGACUACAGCUACGGCUUGGUCUACCUCCGCCUGGGGCGUGCAACCCAAAACUACAAGAACCUGCUGCUCUUCCGUGAGCAGGCACAGCGGAUGGCAGAGGAUGGUGGAGGGGGUGCAGAGGGAGGCAUAGAGGGGCGCUGGGCACAGGGGGCCGGGCAGGAGGUGAGGCGGGCAGGGAGAGUGGGGGUUGGGGCGGUGGUCAGGGCAGGGGCAAUGGAAGCCGAGACCACAGCAGUCAGGUCCUGGAGGUCGCUGAAGCAAGGAUAGGGGACGUCAGGAAGAGGCUGCAGAGAAAGGUGGGCCAUCCAGGGGGAGCGGAGGCCACCAGGAUGGUGGCGGGUGCAGGUGCAACGUUCUGGGUGAGGGACACAGUGGGGAUGAGGAGGCGUGGGAGGGGUCCCAGGUAAGGGUCUGCCCGGGAUGGAGGGGUGUGGAAGUGACCCAGUGUGGGUUAAGGGCCACAAACCCAAUUCUAGACACCAACCACUUGGGGUACACGGAAAGGAGUGGCCCUCCCGGUUGGAACGGGUAGAGGGGAGGUGGGGUCCUGGGGUCUCAGUCGAGGCAGGGCACGCUCAGGGUGCAGCAAGCUGGGGCACAGCUGAGGGGCUGGCUGGAGGGGACUCUGCAGGCAGAGAGGGUUCCCCAGGUGACAGCGUGGUGACCCUGGCUUCCCGAGCCUGGCUGCCUCGUAAGUGGGGAGGGGCCCAGCGGCCGCUGUCCUCCCCUGGCCAACCCCUGCUUCACGCCUAAGCUCUGAGGACAUUUCAGCAGCUCCUGGGGUAGGGAUGGGGGUCAGGGUGCAGACCCUAAAAUGGCCAGAGCUGGAGUCUCUGAUGUGAUCCUGAUCUCAACCUCAGAUAGGCAGAAUGUUUCGAGCUUCCAGAGUCUGAAGGAAUUCAUGGACGCUUGUGACAUUCUGGGGCUCUCCAAGGCCGCCGUCAUCCUCCCGAAAGACGCGUCCCGUACACACACCAUCCUGCCAUGAGAGCCAGCGUCCUCUGCUCUUCCCUUUCGACGCGUGGUCCUCCCAGACCCGAGGAGCGUUGUUCCAGAUGUCAAGUGGAGACCACGGCUUGUUGAGAGGUGUUUGGUGACUCUAGGUCAUUGACAGUGUGAAAAUCAAGUGGCUCAAGGGAUCCUUUAUGAUCACAGAAAGAUGGGGGAAGGAGGAUACAGGCUGACCGGGUGGCGAGAUGUCAGCCAGGCCCCUUCCCCACUGUCUUCUGGAGCACACUGCAGGCUGCUGCUAUUCCCUGUCUGCUGUGAAACAGACCACAGGCCGGCCCAACGCAGUCCUCGCCGUGUGCCUUGCCUCUGCCCUCCACGCCGCCGCCACCCUCCGCGUUCCUUUACAUCCUGCACUUUCUCAGGAAGCCGUUCGCAUAUCCACCCAACAUGGAGGAGCCCCCAUGACGUGCCAGGCAGCGUGCUGGCCCCUGCGGCUGCGUUAGGGAACAGAAUCGGCAAACGCAGUCCCAGAGUUGAUGCCUGAUCAGGAGAAGCCAACUUCAGCAGUGUGGUCACCUGGAUACUCGAGUAUAGACCCUAGAUCACCUGGAUACUCGAGUAUAGACCCUAGAAGUGUAUCUAGGCGCGGCCAGGGCCCCACAACAGCAGGUCUGACUCAUUCCAUCCAGGGCAGCAUCAGGGAGAGCUUCCUGGGGGAAGUGGCAUUUGGGCUGACCUGGGAAGGGUGGUGGGUGUUAAGUCAGUUUGGGUGGGGCUGGAGGAGCAGGGGUGCAUCCCCAGAACAGGAUGUGACUUCUGAAAAGACAUCAGAGUAGAGAAAAUGGUUUCUCAAGGAGAUUGGGGACGCCAGUAUCAGAAUGGCGGCGGGGAGAGCCACAGAGGAGCAGGAGGGGGCCCACCAGACCACGGCACCUCGAAGGCUGCGGUGAAGGCUUAGGUCUCACUCAAGGGGUGAUGACGGGAGGUUGUCUGAGAUGAACCCCCCAACUGAAUGAAUGGACCUUCUUCUGGCCAAGGGGAUCCCAAAGAAACCCUGAACCCGAGUCCUCAGCCAUGACGGGGUAAGGGGUCAGCCCCUCCUUCUGGCCCGAGAAGAGAUCAGAGAUUGGUUCUGGGCAGUCCAUGGAGAAUUUGCUCAGCUGGACCAGUACACGCUUCUCCUUUCAUGAAUAUUCAUGACUCCUCCUGAAGCUUAUUGAACAUCUCUAUUUGGCCAUCUCCUUCAGCGUAAAUUCCUGUCCCCUCUGUCCCUCCCCUCCAAGUGUCUGUUCCAGGCUUCUGGCCUGAGGCUACGCUUCCUAGCCUGUCAGAAGGGCUGCCCUGCUGGCUGCAAUCUCUUAUGAGAAAUAAAGCUCUCCUGUGUGCAAAAAAGUA